rnacentral:rRNA from 1 species
AAGGUGGAUUCCCAAAGACCGUCAUUGUGAAGAAAACUGUUGAGGAUCAAAAAGGCGUCGCUAAUGAUCAAUUCGGUCAGGUAAAGAAUCUCGGCCAAGGAUUGACAAAGGAAAUCAUGACCUAACGAACAUUUGGAAUUAAGAAUUACAACGAUAAAGGUGACUGGAAUGCUGCUAAAUGCAUAACAGG